AUGGCAUCCCCUAAGACCUCAGAGGUGGCCGGCUCAAGAAAGUAUCUUCAAAUCCUGAAACUGGGCGGGAAGAGGCAUGGCAUCCAGGAAUCUUUUCUGCCGGUUUCAGAGUCCCAACAGUCUCCUGGAAACUGUAAUGUGCCUACGAUUUACUAAAAAGCCAAGCAGGAGCUCAUUUGACAAAGCAAUAUUCAAGGUCGACAAUUCUUCUCCAGUAUACACAGCUGUUUCAAAACGUUGCUUUGGGAGGAUGCAGCGAGGUCCUGAGUUCAAUUCCCACCAACCACAUGGUGGCUCACAACCAUCUGUAAUGGAAUCAGAUGCCUUCUGCCGCUGUGUCUGAAGACUGUACUCACAUAUAUAAAGAAUUUGAUCAGUUUGAUGAAAUUUCAUUGAUGUCAACUCUCCAGCUGUCUGUGCCUUACCAAAAGCUGUUUGCCUCCAAGACAAUAAACAGCCCGUGUGAUCCUUUCUCUUGCUUAAGCAGGAAGUCACCACUCAACAGGAAGGAAUUUAAAACCAAUCCCACAAAAUUUCGUGUUUGGUAUAAAAUGUGAAAUAUUUGAAGUCUGGGGAUAUUGUCAUCUCAGAGGUCCCCAGUGGGAACACAUGGCUGCUUUCCGGUUCAGUGAGAGGGUCACACCUUGCCCUCGAGUCGAAUAUAAUUGCAAACAUUCCCCUCUGGGGAAUAUCUUGUAAGGAAGAUUGCCUGACUUUCUGUUAAAUCAAACCUCUCCCCUCGAUGCCUUACAAAUUCUCAGGCUUACUGUAUUUCAUCAGCCUAAAGGCAGGGUUUGACAUCAGCAAUUGUUCGAGAACAUUUGCUUUUACAGUGGAAGAAAGAAAUGAAAAGAGCAGAUCCCAGACCAGAAAAUCCAUGCCUCUCUGAGCCGUUUUCUUAGGGAAAGAGGGUGGGCUUUCUGUUGUUUGUUUGUUUGCAGGUCAGGACGAAUGCAGUAGUUGAUGCAUCGUUGUGACUAACAAAAAACAUUUUAUAUCGGUUAGAGACUUUUUAAAAACUUCAUUACAAAGUUAGAGAAAAGAUUAGGGCAGAAGAAAAAUGAAUGGGAAAGUCGAAAAUCCUCGAUGCAUGCCAGGAAAUAAAAACGACCUGAGUCAAAUCCAAAUACAAGCAAACGGAACAACC